GAGCAGUUGCAGAUUGAGAUGAGAUAUUGGAGCCAAUAAAGACUCCAAUAUUUGAGUCCAUCACUUUUUUCCAAGUAUUUAUUGGCUCCAAUAUUUCAUCUCAAUCUGCAACUGCUCUACAUCAUUCA